UGUUUAAUUAUAGCCCCAGAUCAACACUCCUUGUUUUGCGGGCUUGCAUCUGUAGAUGGUCGAAAACAAAUCUUAAGAAAAAAAAAAAAAGUAGAUGGAUGUAAUAUGUUAAAUCGCUGCUUACAGGCUUGAGGAAAAGGACUUUUUGGGAGGUGUACAUGUAUUUAAGGUGUUCGGAAAAUUAACUAUACUUAGCUUUGUCAAGCAACAAUUGAAAAGAAAUGGAAAAAUGACAACUAAGAAGAUGAUAAGAUUUAUAUGAGAAACUCCAGUGAUGUGGGCCCCGAUCUUUGUUGAUUUGGCACUGCUUUCAAUGAUGUUUUGACUACUGUUGUAAAGUGCACCUAUAUGUUUUGAAAUUGUGGCCUCCACAUGUGUGCAGUAAUACAGAUUGGAAUUCAAACAUGGUUUAGUUUCCCUAGUUUCAGUAGUUUGACAGAGAGACAAGAGCAAGCUAGUCCCUGGAGGCCGUUCUCUGGAGUGUAACAAAUCAGAGAUAUCUUAUCACUGGUGACACUACUCAACAGGCUGGCUUCUAUCAUACACACCAAGGAUUCAACAUUGGCUGGGGAUUAUGAUGUAAGCCAUCUUGACCAUAAUUCUUUGGUGUCCAUUUCAAUCACAUCUAUCUGGCACCACAUGCCUGGAACAAGUCAGAGCACAAGCCACUCAUGGUACAUCCAGUUUCUUGAUGAUAGAGUUCCUGUGCCUGUUGAGGUGAUUGGUACUUUGAUCUCUUGCUGUUGCCUUCUGGGUAAAAGCUGUAGCAUUGAUGAAGAGACAAGACCAAGUCCCUUGGAGACAGUUUUCUGGAGUUUAACACAUCACUGGCAACUGGCAUUACUGACGACACAACUCACUCGGUAAGCACUUUAUAUCAUGUUCUGAUUUGAGCCUAAUAAUAAAAGUCAUGUUCCAGAUUUUGAACAAUAUCUGUACAUAAUUUUGUAUACAUGUACAAUUGUUUUGUAAAAUCUGGAGCAUGGUUUAUCAGGCACCACUCCUGAGGACGACGAGAGCAUGCUGGUUGAAACGUCAAGCACACACUCUACAGUUCUUAUCAGAACCAUACCUCUUCCAAGGGAAAUCUAUCUACGUGAUGUAGCCACAAGCCCUGUCUUUAGUCUCCACCAUGUAAAGCUUCAAGUCUUAUUUAAUGAAGGUGAAUACUUAAUUAGGGCAUUUAUGCCUCCCGGUUUCCCAUUUGUAAGUUGGUCUUGUAAUUGGAUAUUUGCAGCAAAUUUGGCUCUAUAUAAGGCCUAAUCCAAAAUAAGCAUUUGUCUGUGACUGUAGGGUUGGUGAAAAUCAACUGAUCUUGUCAUUUUGUUGAACAUAUCCACUGAAGAACGUUUCAUUCUGAUAUUGCCACAUUUAAGAGAACUAUACACAAAUGAAGGCGAAAGCUUGACUCAGUCAUUAUGUUUGCUAGUAAUCUUCUCCCUCUUGUACUUGUUAGUCAAUCUGUUUUAGUAGUUUGGCCUGUAUAUGUGACGAUUGUCUUCAAAUGGUCGAAAGGUUUACCUUGGUUAAUCAUGAUGGGUACCAUCUCUUCAAUUAUCCUUAUUUAUUUGACCAUCA